CGAAGUAGCAAUACUUAGUGGCAGACGGGCGAGCAACAUGUAGGUAUCUGCCCUUUGGCCUGGAAUAACACGAGGAAACUUGUGCUAAUACCGGAUAAGUCUUUACGGAGAAAGCUUUAUGCACCAUUGGAUGAGCCUGCACUUGAUUAGUUUGUUGGUGGGGUAAUGGCCUACCAAGACUGUGAUCAAUAGCUGAUUUGAGAGGAUGAUCAGCCACAUUGGGACUGAGACACGGCCCAAACUCCUACGGGAGGCAGCAGUGGGGAAUCUUGCACAAUGGAGGAAACUCUGAUGCAGCGAUGCCGCGUGAGUGAAGAAGGCCCUUGGGUUGUAAAGCUCUUUCGUCGGGGAAGAAAAUGACUGUACCCGAAUAAGAAGGUCCGGCUAACUUCGUGCCAGCAGCCGCGGUAAUACGAAGGGACCUAGCGUAGUUCGGAAUUACUGGGCUUAAAGAGUUCGUAGGUGGUUGAAAAAGUUGGUGGUGAAAUCCCAGAGCUUAACUCUGGAACUGCCAUCAAAACUUUUCUGCUAGAGUAUGAUAGAGGAAAGCAGAAUUUCUAGUGUAGAGGUGAAAUUCGUAGAUAUUAGAAAGAAUACCAAAUGCGAAGGCAGCUUUCUGGAUCAUUACUGACACUGAGGAACGAAAGCAUGGGUAGCGAAGAGGAUUAGAUACCCUCGUAGUCCAUGCCG
rnacentral:rRNA from 1 species